rnacentral:sRNA from 1 species
UAGAAGAACUGCUUAAGGAGGCAAAACGUGGGAAAACUAGAGCUGAAACAAUGGGACCCAUGGGUUGACUCCCUGGUUCCAAUCUGGCUCCACAUCUUAC